rnacentral:lncRNA from 1 species
AUACAUCCCACCCAGAGAAACGAUCUCGCCUCAGAUGAUACUUGUCAUCUGUGAGACCACCCCUUUAGCUAGAGUUAACCACUUGAGCAGGUUUCAAUUUUGUCUCUGAAAGUAGGAAGCUAUCAGUCUCCCUACAUGACUCGUUCCACCCUUUGUGGAUACUUCUACCUGUAGAAAAAAAGGUUGGCAAACUUGGUGGCAUGGUGAGGACAAAGGGCAUUUUGAAAGAACCAGUGACUGAGGUCAGAGUGGGGAGCUGGUGUUAGCUGUGGGAUUCACUGCAGCGUCCUACCACAAAGGCAAAGAAGAUGAAAAUGCAGCGUGCAGUGCUGGGCUUGAUUCCCAAGUCGCAGUCGGGCUCCCGCUAUGGUAGGAGGCUUUACACUCAGCCUGGGUCAGCACCGGAGCAUCCAGGCACUUCAGCUCGUCUGGGUAGUCAGCUGUGAGGAUCAGGAAGAGAUCAAAGAAAGUAGAAAUGUGGGUGAGGCCAGAGAAGGAGACAAUAAUCUGGGAUGGAACAUUGAAGAGGAACACUGCCUCUGGAGAGGACUCCAAAACGAGUGUCUUUUGGAAGACAAUUCUUGGUCUGCUACUGGGCCUUAGUAGAGACUGAAUGUUUGACCAUUGGCUGCCAAGUUACCAUGCAACCUGAGCUGCCCAUCAUGAACUGACUGUUAUCUGAUCCACCAAGUCAUAAAAUUUGGCAUACACAGCACUCCAUCAUCAAAUGGAAAUAGUACAUACAUGAUCUGGUUGGAAUAGGCCCUGAAGGCACAUAUGCAAGACAUUGUGAUUUUGACCUUGUUGGAUGCUGCACCUAAAGGUGGAUGGAAGAGGAAGAGUCUUGGGGGCUACCAUCCUGGCUGGAGAAGCUGGCACGAGGCUCCCUCUUGUGGAUGCAGCAAGUCUGAGGGCCAAGGGAAGAGAAGAGUGACAUAGAAUCUCCUUUCCUUGAGAUCUUAGAAUCACGCCUGCCUCCUUACCUCCAUCCAGGACUGUUAAAAAUCUCCCAAGGCAGAGACUUUUAGGCCUACAUGUACUUAGCCUCCUCUUCCCACCUCCUGUUCAUCUCUGUUUCCAAUGUUCCACUGCCAUCACUGCCAGGAAGUUCUGCAGAGAAGAAUGAAGAAGAACCGUAUGAUCCUAAACAUGUUCUUUGAAGAUAUUAUCAACCCACCAUUGGCCUUAUUUACUGGAAUGUUUUUAUAACCUUUAUUUGACACCUCUUCCCAUCAUUUAAAAUAAAUCUGGUGCUUCCCUGAAUAA